rnacentral:rRNA from 1 species
UACGAAGGGUGCAAGCGUUACUCGGAAUUACUGGGCGUAAAGCGUGCGUAGGUGGUUUGUUAAGUCUGAUGUGAAAGCCCUGGGCUCAACCUGGGAACGGCAUUGGAAACUGGCUUACUAGAGUGCGGUAGAGGGGUGUGGAAUUCCCGGUGUAGCAGUGAAAUGCGUAGAUAUCGGGAGGAACAUCUGUGGCGAAGGCGACACCCUGGACCAGCACUGACACUGAGGCACGAAAGCGUGGGGAUCAAACAGG